AAUACCCCAGCCCUGAAUCAAGCGACCGCGCCUCCCCGCCUCCACCGCCGUGCCGUCCUCCCGGCACGGUGGCCUGCCCCCUCUCUGCCGCGCCCUCCUCCCCCGCACCGUCCAAGUCCUCCGUGUGCGGUUCGCCCACGCCGAGGCCCAGGCCGCCGCGCUCCGUGCCCGCGCCGGUCGGCCGGCUCGAGCGCGCGCCGGAGGAGAGGUGGUCGGCUGGAGGGGAGCGACCAACGUCGUGGUGGUCUCGCCGGCGAGCGACGGGAGGAGGGCGGAGAUGAUGCGUAGGAGGGCGAGGCGGCAGGAGGCUUCCCGACGGAUUGGGGAGACGACGCGAGGCAUCUUCGACGGCAUGGGCCGGGGCGCCGUGCUUCCUCAGAUUCGCGUUUUGAGUGUGUGUCCAGUUUGUCGCUUCCCUCGACGUCGACGGCUCCAUGAUCAGUCGUGUUCUCUUCCUACUAAGCCAUGAUGAGAUAUCACCGAGUUCGCCGGCGGAAGAAGAACAUCUCUCGAGCCGUCCAAUGUUUCCUGCGGCGGCUACACCAGAGGUUCAGUUCAGAAGAGCAACCAAAAAGGUUCCAGAUUCAUCUCAUGGUGAGGAGUGAGCAUGUGAAUUAAUGUGUGCAUGAAGCUAGACACAGUUCUUAUCAAGUGGGUCUGAAGGAGUUGGGCAGUGGGUGGUUCCCAUCACACUCUGCUGUUGUUCAUACUUGGUUCAGCGAAAGUUCUUUUUCCGUGGAAAACCGGAGGAUUUCAGUUUGUUAGUGCUCGUAGAAUGUCAAAAGAAAGAUGGCAUAAGGAGGUUUAACCAAGAUGUCCUUUUGUUGGUUUUCCUGUGUAAUUAGCACUUACAAAUAUGGAGUACAGGUAGGAGAAUGCUACGGUUCUGCCUGCAUCUGAUGGGUGACGUGGCUCAGCCCAGCGGCUCUACAGAACCAUCAGAUAACCUGGGACGAUCAUGCCUCUUUGCUAGAGAAGAUUGUAGCUUAUGAAGUUUGUGUCUGACUCGCCAUUAGAUCGUUCAAUAUGCUAUCUUGUGGUUUAAUUGAUGAUUUCUUUUUCUUAGUUUUCAGGUUGUGUAUACAAUCAGAAAUCUGAUAGACUGGAGAGAAGGCUAGGUGUUUGCCACAUUGUUUCGGCUACUUCCAUCUGGCGAUUCCAGAUUACUAAUACAGUGACAAUCCUUCAGAUUUAGGGGAUACAAUGUCGGAUUACAUUAUGUGGAUGUAUUGAAGGCAAAAAUUCUUGUGGUGGAGGUAUUACGUGCUACCACUUUAUCAGUACAUAACCAACUUCCAUUCUUUAUAAAUAGCAACAAGCAGUUUUCAUCUCCAAGCAUAUUCAAAAGCGAAAACAAUUCUUUGUAUUGUUUAUCAAAACUGUAUGAUGAGAUAGUUCAGAGUGUUGGGCUAAAAUUGGAGAACACAAGUUUAUCAGAAACAAUAAGAAUUUGUCAUCAAGGAUCUAAGAGCUCUGGAAAUAUGUUGUUCUCCUCUUUUGAUUCUCCUUUCAGUACAUAAGAUUGCAGACUAAGAUUUAUUAGUAUAAGGAUGAAAUUAACUUUAAAUACCAUAAUGCACCUUUGUUUGGUUGGAUUCAAAGUGCAAUAAUGUACAGAACAUUAACUAUUACUCCCUCCUUGCGGAAAUAAGUGAAGCUGUUUUAAUUCAAAAUCUAAAACAAUGUCACUUAUUUCCGGAUGGAGGGAGUAUAUGAUUUCUUUAUCUGGUUGCUGCAUCCCCUUUAUCCAUCAAAAUCAGUGUUCUACAAUGCUCAUUUAUGUUGGUUGGAAAGAGGAUCGCAACAGAGGCACAAUAAACUGCCGGCAUAUUAACAUCAUAUUGGCAUAGUUGCAGUGUGAAAAUCUCUCGAGCUAGAUCUUAAGUAGGUUGUGCCUCUUUUGUUGCCCGGUGCAACGCACGGGCAUUUGCACUAGUCUCUCCCUAAUAAUAAAGUACGGAUUGGGUCUCCGGAUUCACCGUCACAAUGCGCUUUCUUCUCAUCUCAUAAUACGCUUUUACAAUUUGUAUGGACAAAAAUUUGUAAUAUAAACGAGGUGGUACUAAUAAAGCACGCAUUGGUCGGGUUCACCGUCAUCGAAAUUACCCUUCAAGUGAAAAAAAACCUUUUGUAAAGAUACUAGCGUCGGUCACGUGACCGUCUCUCGAUUUUCCUAAAAAAAUAGAUCAAACGAAAAGAACUAUUAGAAGGCAGACUGGAACACGUCCCUCCUCUCCGCCAGAACGUGUGUGUUCGUCUCUCAUCUUCCGCCCCGCAAGAAAAAAAGCCGACCUUCGCUGAUCCAUCGCCCGCCAUCGCACCAAGAUACGGCGAGGUAGCGGUCAUCCUGGACAUGGGCGACCUUCCGGCGGCACACGGAUCUGCCGAUGAAAAGGCUCAGUGUCAUGGAGCGAGGUCCAGGUCCACUUCAUCGGCCACGUUCUCGACUUGCGCUUGUCGAGGAGGACGUUACGUUGUGCGAGUUGCUGCGGCGCCGUAUGCAGCUCCAGCGCCAAAGAUAGAUGGUAUCCCACAGGAUUGGCCUUUGCCGUCGACGCGCUGCUGUCAGAGUGCGCGGCCGUGAUGGAGUAGCUCUAUAGGGCGGCCGCACGGAGAGCUGCAGAAGCUUGUGAAGCCAUACCUGUGAUCGAUAGCGGCGAUUGCAACCUGGAAUUCUUCUCAUAUCUCGCUUUGACUUGCUGGAGGCUAGAUGUGGGUCAAUGAGUCAAUCAGACCAGGAUUCAACGAGGAAGAGUGGAAAACCACUAUACUUUUUUAGUAUUGGAUGGCGUCGUGCACUAUGUAUCCAUGAAGUAUCCAAAGAAACUGGUGGUGAUGGAAUCCGUGCGUGUGACUGUGCCCCUGCCCGCUCGACGAUUUUUUGGGUUCCAGCGUGACUGUAAGGUAAGAGGCUCUUGGUCCUGUUCUGAAUUCUAAUGAUGUUGAUCAGCUGGGAGAGAGAUCGGCAGAGGGAUGGAAGGCAUGGCGGCAGAGUUCAAGAUGUAUAUUCGAAUGGAAUAACACUGAAAUAUCUUGCUGUUGCUCCCUGUCAGAGUGCAUAAUCAUGAUGUAAAUUACUCGGCACCGCGUGUUAUUUUCCAAGUCGCCAUAUAGCCUCAACUUGCUGAAUUGCCAAACUGGACAGUUGCUUAAACCUUCUGUGGACAAGAUACACAAACAUACAAUUGCAUGAUAAGUUAACAACUUCUGGUGGAUUUUGUUUGCCAUCUUUAACAAGAAGAAUAUAACUAUUUGCUAAUGUUAAUUGCUUAUAGUUUAUCAAAGGUAAACUGUCCGCUACAUGCCAAGUAUGUGAAUUGAUUUCACGUGGACUAACUUAGAUGGUUUUAUAUAUUUCUGAAAGCUUCACUCAAAUAGUUCUCCUAAGAUUUUUGGGUAAUUCUUCUCUUCCAAUAGUUGUUAGUUUUUUUCGUUAUUACAAACAACUGAUCAGUCUGAAAAAGAAAUCUUGUGAUAGUUUUUUUGUUAUUCCGAAAGAAUGGAAAAAAUUAUCCGUUAGUUUAAAUUAUUUCCAUCCAAUACUUCAUAAAAGUUCAUUUGCG